rnacentral:rRNA from 1 species
CACGAACCGUACGAACGUUAUUCGGAAUUACUGGGCUUAAAGGGUUUGUAGGCGGCCAUGUAAGUCAGGUGUGAAAUCCCUCGGCUCAACCGAGGAACGGCGCUUGAUACUGCAUGGCUUGAGGGAGACAGGGGUAAGCGGAACUGAUGGUGGAGCGGUGAAAUGCGUUGAUAUCAUCAGGAACACCGGUGGCGAAAGCGGCUUACUGGGUCUCUUCUGACGCUGAGGGACGAAAGCUAGGGUAGCGAACGGG